rnacentral:tRNA from 2 species
UCGUUAGCUCAGUUGGUAGAGCAGCGGACUUUUAAUCCGUUGGUCCCGCGUUCGAGUCGCGGACGA